AGAAUAUUGUUUAAUAUACUUCAUACUUAAUAGUGAAGUGGAUUUCGUUGAACUUUGGAGAUUUUCGAGGGGCUGUGUCUGUCAUUCUUGUACGUUACUGUCAAUGCAUUCUCAAGAAGGAAGAGAUUAAUGAACCCUACCCUCUUACAAUGAACAACACAUGGACACUCUCCGGAUGUUCCCUUUGCUUUUAUUAAGAGUUCCAAGAUGUUGGUCUGAUUGACUGGUGUGUGAAAUGUAACAGCCAAUGGUGUACUUAAGCCCGAACUGUCAGUCCCAAUAUUCAAGAGCAAUGCAUUCUCAAGAAGGAAGAGAACUCUUCGGAUGAUCCCUUUGCUUUUAUUAAGAGUUCCAAGAUGUGGGUCUGAUUGACUGGUGUGUGAAAUGUAACAGCCAAUGGUGUACUUAAGCUGGAACUGUCAGUCCCAAUAUUCCGGAGAUGUGGGUCUGAUUGACUGGUGUGUGAAAUGUAACAGCCAAUGGUGUACUUUAGCUGGAACUGUCAGUCCCAAUAUUCAACAGGAAAAACUCCUACAUAAACAAAUACAUGGGUGCAGACAUUUUGGACACCCAAAGUUGUGCGGAGGAGAAAAUGCUGUCUGGCGCGUAAUUGGUCAAUA